AGCGAACGCUGGCGGCAUGCCUAACACAUGCAAGUCGCACGGGGGGGCUUCGGCCUCCCAGUGGCGGACGGGUGAGGAACGCGUAGGGACCUGUCGAGGGGUGGGGGAUAACCGCGGGAAAAUGCGGCUAAUACCGCAUGACGCCGCGGCGUGACCGCCGGGGCCAAGGGCGAACGCCGCCAGCCGAGGGGCCUGCGUCCGAUUAGCUGGUUGGCGGGGUAGCGGCCCACCAAGGCGUCGAUCGGUAGCUGGUCUGAGAGGGUGCUCAGCCACACCGGGACUGAGACACGGCCCGGACUCCGACGGGAGGCAGCAGUGGGGAAUAUUGGACAAUGGGCGCAAGCCUGAUCCAGCAAUGCCGCGGGGGUGAAGAAGGUCUUCGGAUUGUAAAGCCCUUUCGGCGGGGACGAUGGUGACGGUACCCGCAGAAGAAGCCCCGGCUAACUUCGUG
rnacentral:rRNA from 1 species